UACGUAGGUGGCAAGCGUUGUCCGGAAUUAUUGGGCGUAAAGGGCGCGUAGGCGGCACUUUAAGUCAGAUGUGAAAACCCGGGGCUCAACCCCGGAGGUGCAUUUGAAACUGGAGAGCUUGAGUGCGGGAGAGGAAAGUGGAAUUCCUAGUGUAGCGGUGAAAUGCGUAGAUAUUAGGAGGAACACCAGUGGCGAAGGCGACUUUCUGGACCGUAACUGACGCUGAGGCGCGAAAGCGUGGGGAGCAAACAGG
rnacentral:rRNA from 1 species